rnacentral:rRNA from 1 species
AUUGAACGCUGGCGGCAGGCCUAACACAUGCAAGUCGAACGAGUGGCGGAAGGGAGAGUAAUGUCUCGGAAACGGCCUGCAGGCUGGGGAUAAAUACUGGAAACGGUUGAUCAUACCGCAUACCCUCACAUGGACCCAGCUGGGCAUAGCUAGGUGGUGGGGUAACGGCACACCAAGGCGACGAUCCCUAGCUGGUCUGAGAGGAUGACCAGCAACACUGGAACUGGGACACGGUCCAGACUCCUACGCGAGGAAGCAGUGGGGAAUAGUGGACAAUGGGCGAAAGCCGGAUGCAGCCAUGCCGCGUGUAUGAAGAAGGUCUUCGGAUUGUAAAGUACUUUCAGUGGGGAGGCGUUACCAGCAGAAGAAGCACCGGCUAACUCCGUGCCAGCCGCCGCGGUAAUAC